rnacentral:rRNA from 1 species
GUGCCAGCCGCCGCGGUAAUACGGAGGUGGCGAGCGUUGUUCGGAAUUAUUGGGCUUAAAGCGCGUGUAGGCGGGACGGCAAGUGUCGGGUGAAAGCCCUCGGCUCAACCGAGGAAUGGCCUGGCAAACUGCCGUCCUUGAGGCAGGCAGAGGUGGCUAGAACGACGGGUGGAGCGGUGAAAUGCGUAGAUAUCCGUUGGAAUGCCAGCGGCGAAAGCAGGCCACUGGGCCUGUCCUGACGCUGAGACGCGAAAGCGUGGGGAGCAAACAGGAUUAGAUACCCCUGUAGUCC